rnacentral:rRNA from 1 species
ACGAACGCUGGCGGCAUGCCUAACACAUGCCAGUCGCACGAGACCUUCGGGUCUAGUGGCGCACGGGUGCGUAACGCGUGGGAAUCUACCCUCAGGUUCGGAAUAACUCAGAGAAAUUUGAGCUAAUACCGGAUGAUGACGUAAGUCCAAAGAUUUAUCGCCUGAGGAUGAGCCCGCGUAGGAUUAGGUAGUUGGUGAGGUAAAGGCUCACCAAGCCGACGAUCCUUAGCUGGUCUGAGAGGAUGAUCAGCCACACUGGGACUGAGACACGGCCCAGACUCCUACGGGAGGCAGCAGUGGGGAAUAUUGGACAAUGGGCGAAAGCCUGAUCCAGCAAUGCCGCGUGAGUGAUGAAGGCCUUAGGGUUGUAAAGCUCUUUUACCCGGGAUGAUAAUGACAGUACCGGGAGAAUAAGCUCCGGCUAACUCCGUG